GAUGAACGCUGGCGGCGUGCUUAACACAUGCAAGUCGAACGAUGAAGCCCAGCUUGCUGGGUGGAUUAGUGGCGAACGGGUGAGUAACACGUGAGUAACCUGCCCUUGACUCUGGGAUAAGCCUGGGAAACUGGGUCUAAUACUGGAUAUGACUUCUCAUCGCAUGGUGGGGGGUGGAAAGAUUUAUUGGUCUUGGAUGGACUCGCGGCCUAUCAGCUUGUUGGUGAGGUAAUGGCUCACCAAGGCGACGACGGGUAGCCGGCCUGAGAGGGUGACCGGCCACACUGGGACUGAGACACGGCCCAGACUCCUACGGGAGGCAGCAGUGGGGAAUAUUGCACAAUGGGCGCAAGCCUGAUGCAGCGACGCCGCGUGAGGGAUGACGGCCUUCGGGUUGUAAACCUCUUUCAGUAGGGAAGAAGCGAGAGUGACGGUACCUGCAGGAGAAGCGCCGGCUAACUACGUG
rnacentral:rRNA from 1 species